AUUGGUCCAACUUUCGCUAAGAUUUGUUGUCACUGUUCUGACUGAGAGACUUCGUUGCUCACUGUAUAAAGUUGACAGUGCAGCUCAAUGCAACGCAUAGGUCUCUCUGCUUGAAGUGACGUGAAAUGCAACCACUGUUGUGACUUCAUUUGUUUGCAUUACUUCCUGAUGAUUAAUUCAUGUUGGCAGAAAGCAUGGAUCGAAUUGUGUCUCAUAGCUUUGGUUCUGGUAUGCCUUAUGUCAAUAAGCAGUAGGACCAAAACGGUGGGUCUUGUCCGAAUGGCUUCGUUGUACGAGAUGGAAUUUGUUCCAGGUGUUGAAAUAUUGCGAAUGGAGGAUUGGGUUAAUUCCAGGUUAUGGAGCACAAGAAGCAUCUCAGCAGUUGGUUCAGGAGGGUUUUGACAAGCUAGCUUCAUCACGCAAGGUUGCAAUGUCUCCCCAGCAGGUGAAAAUAUAAGUCUUAUUCGUUUAUCUCUUAGAACCUUACUUCGCUCUUCUAUGAAUCGAAAUGUCGAAGAAAACAUUCAUGGGAGAAUUUAUGAAAUUCACGUUACCAAUUUCAUGGGGAAGAGUUAUUCGAACAAGCACCAGUCUAAGUCCAAGUUGCAUAUUGGGUCUCAAUGGAAUGGACUGAAGCAGAUGGAGAUGAGUAAUAGAGACUAGAGCACUAGGAUGGAGUGAAGAUGCAGAAGGAAGUAGCAGACCUAAAGGCGGCUCUAGACCACAUAUUGCAUACAGAUUAGUUUUGUUCAAUCUUCUCUCGGCCUCGGAAACUGUAGGAUACGGCAAGAGGAGCAGGUCUGAUGUUUUCCACACGAUGAAGUUGCUUUCGAGCUCGGACGGCAAUUCGUACAAACUUCGAGAUUAUGAAGGACACAGGAACUGACAACAAAAGGAAAUGCGUGUGUCAGGCUUGAAGGCAGAAGCGGUCGAGUAGCACAGUGAAAGGACUCACCCUUUACGUACGUUAUCGCUUCUUGACAGAAAACACAUCAACACUCUCAAAAAAAGCUUCAUGAUCAGUCCACAAAUCUGCAAUGAUCGGCACGUUAGAGCACGUUGGCCUUCACAGCUUUUCCAGCUUGACUGCAAAGAAAAGGAAGACAUCCAGAGGGAGGCAGUUGCUUGAGUCGAGGCGACUCAACAACUUCAGUCAUGCACACCAUAAGAACACGAAAUAUUCACCAAGAUUAUGCUCCUAUGCUGGUUGAUGUGAACAACUAUAUAAAACAGUGUUUGAGGAGAAUGAAGUGGUUGAAGGAAGCACGAGUGUCUUCCCGACCUACAUGGACAAUGAGUCUCGUUCUUACAACACUCCAAGAUUAUAUGCAAGAUUGACUUGAAUUCACCCAAAUUUUGAUGACUUUGAUGCAACCUUGAGAUUACCAAUGUGCAAGCAAGCUGCGCUAUUGCAGUGGGGUUUUAUGUUUGAUAUGGUUGGACUUGUGGAAAAAAACAACAAAAAAAGAAGAAGAUUCAAACAGCUCUCUAGUCGAUACAACAAAACAACAUGAGUGUCUCAAAUUUCCCAAAGUGGCCAAUUCUUAAAAUAUUUUAUUUGUUUAUUUCAGAUUAUAUUUAAGAACAAUUGCUUUCUCUAUGCAA